rnacentral:lncRNA from 1 species
GGCAGAGCUCAGAAAGCACUACCCCAAAGGACUUCGAGCUGAAGGAGAUUGUGACGGCUUCAGAAGCAAGAAAGUCACUCUGACCUUUCCCCACCUUUCUCUGUAAGAGCUGGUCAUAAAGGAAUUUUCUGACCUACUUUUCCUGAAAGUUAGCCAUUCCAGAGGGACCCUGCGCAUACCCAGAGGGAAGGAAUGCUACACAGAGAGGCCAAGAAGAAUCUGGUUACCAUAGGCUCACAUAGAUUAUUUUCUUCAUGAAGGAGUCUAGCAUGCCACAGAGAGUUCUGCUUCUUGGGCCACAAGACUGUCCGUUAGUCCUCAAACCCUCAGUACCAUGGGCUGCAAGAAUGGAUCAAGUUCUGCUGAGAUAUAAUUGACUUCAACUUAGAAGUGAAAUGUGGUGAAUAGGUUAAUGAAAAGAAAUUCCAGUCCCCAUGUCUAAGUAAAAUCAUCUUUGAAGAGGCUGUUUAAAUGACUGCUCUGCAGACAGUUCCUCCAAAAGAAGAAAGAGAGAAGAAUUUAUCCAGUGGUUUCCAUAUCCAGCAGAUCAAUAUUUUUUUGCCAUGGUUACUCAUGACUUGGUGUAGACAGGGAAGCCCAGAGCUAGAGGCCAGUGACUUAUGGAGUGAGCAGAGUGAAGGCAUUGUCUGGCGGGUCUGCAUCAUUGUAAUGAGAACUCAUGUAAAGCUACUCAUCAGGACAACUGAAAAGAGAAGAGACAGGAAAUUUGUGUUAGAGAAGGAGUAUACCAGUUAGAAAAGAAAAAGAAAAAAGAAAAACAGAAAAAGGUGAUGUGCCUGAUCCUCAUUUGUGUUCC